rnacentral:rRNA from 1 species
UGGGGAAUAUUGCACAAUGGGCGAAAGCCUGAUGCAGCAACGCCGCGUGAGUGAUGAAGGCCUUCGGGUUGUAAAGCUCUGUCUUCUGGGACGAUAAUGACGGUACCAGAGGAGGAAGCAACGGCUAACUACGUGCCAGCAGCCGCGGUAAUACGUAGGUGGCAAGCGUUGUCCGGAUUUACUGGGCGUAAAGGAUGCGUAGGCGGAUACUUAAGUCAGAUGUGAAAAUCCCGGGCUUAACUUGGGAACUGCAUUUGAAACUGGGUAUCUAGAGUGCGGGAGAGGAGAGUGGAAUUCCUCGUGUAGCGGUGAAAUGCGUAGAGAUUAGGAAGAACACCAGUGGCGAAGGCGACUUUCUGGACCGUAACUGACGCUGAGGCAUGAAAGCGUGG